GGGCCCGCACAAGCAGCGGAGCAUGUGGUUUAAUUCGAAGCAACGCGAAGAACCUUACCAAGGCUUGACAUCCAACUAAGCUCAUAGAAAUAUGAGGUGCCUUCGGGCAAGUUGAGACAGGUGGUGCAUGGUUGUCGUCAGCUCGUGUCGUGAGAUGUUGGGUUAAGUCCCGCAACGAGCGCAACCCCUAUUACCAGUUACCAGCACGUAAAGGUGGGGACUCUGGUGAGACUGCCGGGGACAACUCGGAGGAAGGUGGGGAUGACGUCAAAUCAUCAUGCCCCUUAUGUCUUGGGCUACACACGUGCUACAAUGGCUGUAACAAAGGGAAGCGAAGUCGUAAGGCUAAGCGGAUCUCAGAAAAGCAGUCCCAGUUCGGAUUGUGGGCUGCAACCCGCCCACAUGAAGUCGGAGUUGCUAGUAAUCGCGGAUCAGAAUGCCGCGGUGAAUACGUUCCCGGGCCUU
rnacentral:rRNA from 1 species